rnacentral:rRNA from 1 species
CCUACGGGUGGCUGCAGUGGGGAAUAUUGGACAAUGGGGGGAACCCUGAUCCAGUCAUGCCGCGUGUGUGAAGAAGGCCCUCGGGUUGUAAAGCACUUUCAGUGAGGAAGAACGCCUGGUGGUUAAUACCCAUCAGGAAAGACAUCACUCACAGAAGAAGCACCGGCUAACUCCGUGCCAGCAGCCGCGGUAAUACGGAGGGUGCGAGCGUUAAUCGGAAUUACUGGGCGUAAAGCGCGCGUAGGUGGCUUGAUAAGCCGGUUGUGAAAGCCCCGGGCUCAACCUGGGAACGGCAUCCGGAACUGUCAAGCUAGAGUGCAGGAGAGGAAGGUAGAAUUCCCGGUGUAGCGGUGAAAUGCGUAGAGAUCGGGAGGAAUACCAGUGGCGAAGGCGGCCUUCUGGACUGACACUGACACUGAGGUGCGAAAGCGUGGGUAGCAAACAGGAUUAGAUACCCGUGUAGUC